CCAAUAGCGUAUAUUAAAGUUGUUGCAGUUAAAAAGCUCGUAGUUGAAUUUCGGGGUCAGUAGGUCGGUCGUGCCACUGGUAUGAACUGGUUUUACUGAUUCCUCCCUCUUGAAGAACUGUAAUGCCAUUAAUUUGGUGUUGCAGGGAAUCAGGACUGUUACUUUGAAAAAAUUAGAGUGUUUAAAGCAGGCUUUAGCUUGAAUACAUUAGCAUGGAAUAAUGAAAUAGGACGUUUGAUCCUAUUUUGUUGGUUUCUAGGAUUGACGUAAUGAUUAAUAGGGAUAGUUGGGGGCAUUAGUAUUCAAUUGUCAGAGGUGAAAUUCUUGGAUUUAUUGAAGACUAACUACUGCGAAAGCAUUUGCCAAGGAUGUUUUCAUUAAUCAAGAACGAAAGUUAGGGGAUCGAAGACGACCAGAUACCGUCGUAGUCUUAACCAUAAACUAUGCCGACUAGGGAUCGGAUGAUGUUAAUUUUUUAAUGACUCAUUCGGCGCCUUAC
rnacentral:rRNA from 1 species